rnacentral:rRNA from 1 species
CAAAAUCUGUAAAUAGAAAAAAAAAAAAAAAAAAAAAUUUUUUUUGUUGUUCUUCCCGGUAUUUUUUGCUAAUUUAAAGAUUAACCCUUCCAUUUUAAAUUUUUAAGACCAGUUAGAUUAAACCGCCGGCGGGCCCAUAUAACCGUUAUUAUUUUUUUUGUUUAUUGGGUACAAGAUAACUUUUGGAAAUAAAUAAAUUAUUCUUGGAACGACCCCGGAAAUUAUAAUACUUUUUGGCCCCUGGCCGCAAGGUUGGGGAAAAAAGACAUUUUUUUGUGAAAAAGGAUGCCGCGACAAUUGAGGAAAGCGACGCUUUUAACAAGUAACCAAUGGGAAUUUCUGAUCUAUCAAUUUGUUGGUAGUAUCGAGGACUACCAAGAUUAUAACGGAUAACGAGGAAUUGGGGUUCGACAUCGGAGAGGGAGCUUUACAGAUGGCUACCACUUAUAAGGAAGGCAGCAGGCGCGUAAAUUACCCACUUUCGACCCGAAGAGGUAGUGACGACAAAUAACUCUUGGCGCCCCUCGGGGUGACUGAAGGAAUGAUUUAGAAGUAAAUUCUCUAAAGAAAUCAAUGGAGGCAAGUCUGCCCCCCCGA